GCCCGUAUUCAUUCCUCUCGCGAUGCAACUGUAGCGGUAAAUAUCUCUACUUCUGGAGCUUUUUUCUCGCCUCGCGAAGACAGCCUCGUCUCUGCCUCGGAUGCAGCCGUCUUCAUCUCCACCCCACGCGGCCACGCCUGUCGCGGCAGGCGAUGCGCGGGGUGAGGCGGCGGCGGCCGCGGACAUGCCAGGGUGCUGCGGGCUGCAUGCCUCGCCGGCGCGCUCGUAGUCCCGCUCGCCCGCCGCCGCCACUCCUCCUCGCCGCGUGCCGCCGCCGCCCCCGCUCCUCCUCCUCCACUGCCGCCCCUCCCUUCCUCUCCGCGUCGGGGACCCUGCAUGAGCUCGCCGGCCAGAUCCCGCAGCAGGGCAGCUGCGGCGGCUGCAGCGGGGCGGAGCCUCCACCGCGCGGCCUCCGGCAUCCCCUACUCCCUCGAAGGCACACGGCCGUGCACGGUCGGCGGCGCUCCUCAUGCGGCGGCAGCGGAGCUCCGCAUGUGCGCGCAGCGGCGCUCCCCGCGCGGCAGCUCCGGAGCUCCGUAGGCGGCUUGCAGCCCGCGUCGCCACCGCGCCUGCGCCAGCCGCCGCACGCCAAUCGCGCCACCUCAACCCGCAGUUCCCCGGCCGGCGUCACCUAGCCUCGCCUCCGUCCGAGGCUCGCGGCUCGCGUCACCUCCGCGCUCCCGCCUGCCACCGCUCGCGUCGUCUCCGUUCCAGGCUCGCGGCCUGUAUCCCCACAGCAGUCGCGCCGGCCGCCUGCCGCCGACGCUGCUGUCCCUGACGCCACCGACGUUGUGACGCCAAGCAGGGCAAGGCGGCUGGGCGCGCCUCAUUCAGCCCCUCCCCUCCUUGACCUCCCUCCCCUCUGCUCCUGCGUUCCCAAGGGCAGCAAGCCUCGCCGGCCGGCCGGCCGCGGCUGCCGUCCGUCCCUCCCCCAACCCCAAGCUCCCAGAGAAGGAUCAGUUGCAGCUCCAUGGUCAUGAGGCCAUGCAUCGGUCUGUGCUAGAGCUAGACCGUGGAAGGAGCAGCGGGCAGCCGCAGCAAUGCCUGGCCAUGGGAAUUCCAAGUCAUCACGAUUCAAGUGCAUACAGCCAUACACCAUGGAAACAGCUUGCAAAGUGUUCGACAGAAUGCUCAUGAGGAGAAUAGGGACAUCAACAUGAGGAUAGUGGUUGUCUGAUCUCCCUGUUGUGCUCUAAUAACCACAUCAAGAGCAUGCCUACUUCUCUACCAGGAUCUCCUGAACCUUGGCAACAUAUUAUUGGAAGUGAAGUCCAAAAAGACACACAGUGGCUACAAAAGAUGGAGGAGAGCACCUGGCUCCUCCAUGACCUAAAAUGGGCGAAUAAAGUUGUAGGUGGAUAAAUGGUUAGAAAAUUUGAACUAGAGAUAAAAUAUGAUCCAAAUGGAAUUUCAGAGAAUGCAGCUUCACUUAUCCAAGCAGGUUAAAUGGCAGAGAUUUCUUCCAGAAUAAGUGGAAUGUGGCAUGUAUGGCCUGAGCACGCCAAUGCAGAGCUCUGGUGAGGCCCUACCUCACCAGCAUCGGGGCACCGGCAGCAGGCUGACAACAGAGGUGGUGCAAAGGUAGACGAAAUUAUAGAUGUGAGAUAGUUAAGAACUAUAUCUUUUCUUGGUUAUUUUUUUUUUACAAUUACUUCUAUGCUUUGAAUUGAAUUUAAUGUAUGCAUUUGCCAUGUAAGUAUAGCCACUGACAUUCAUAGGUCCUUAUUAGUAUUAAACUUGAGUGUCUAUAUACUUAACUAAAUGCACACGGAUAGUCAAGACUUGCAUAGAUUACUCAAAAGAAAUAUUAUUAAUGCCUUCUACCGAAUAUGCAGAAACAACAUUUAUAUUGUUUCAACCAUGCUAACUAGAGUAUAUCUGCAGCACCUUUAGUUCGCGGUAAGUUUCGCUUACUCCAUGCAUGAUCUAUGCUAGGACCAUUAACUGCUACUACUUAUUUCCUUUUCCUUUGAAAAAACAUUGCUGUUUUCAUUUAUAUCAAUUCACAUCAACAUAGCUUGUGAUAUUAAUGUAAGAUGGUCUAGGCUUAGUGUUCUUUAGAUCUAUAAAAUAUUUAUAGGGAGAGCUUAUAUAACUAUAUGUUUGCAUACUACUGAGAGCUCCAUCGAGAGCUCCUAUAUCAUAUUAAAUUAUUAAGAGUUCCUAUAUCCUCAUUGUUCCAAAAAAAAACUAACUGCAUCUAGAGUUAAUGAUUACAAGAAUUCAUUCAUGGUGGACAUAUUCAUAUGUGAAAGAUCUUUCAGACAAUUGGUUUAACAGACCCAUGUAAAACUCCCCGCAGAAGGGAUAUACUUUUCAACGAAACACUAAUAUUUGUUACCAUUCAAAGCACUAAUAUUUUUAACUAAAUUUCAUAGUUUACAAAACUCUAAAUAACCAAAUUGAUACAAAGUAAAUAUGAGCGCGUGCGAAGGCGCGCGUAAUGUACUUUACUUCUUCCCCUGCGCCUCUUUUCAAGCCAGGUUUAGCUUAUCCCUAUGUUGGAUCCGGCUUCUAUCGAUGCUCCUUUUGGUAUGCAGUGUUGGAUCGAUGUGGUGCUGAUCUUUUUCUCCUGUCCCCGGUGUGCAGUUCAUACGGUUUUUCAUCUGUCUGCUGCCAGGUUUGCAGUCCUCGUUCAGAAACUUCAUCAGUUUGCAUCCCGGCCCUAUCCUUCAGCUGAGACAUCUCCUAGGCCUCCAUUCAGUGAAAUUGCUUGGAAAAAAGUGCUUCCACUUUUACUCCUUCAGAUCUUAAAUUCUGAAUACCAAUGUGAUGAAAUGCUGGUUUGAUUUCUAUAUGGACAAAUAGAUUUGUUAAAUUUAGGUUUUAUUGACUAAAUCAAACAAUUGAAAGGAUUAGGACACUCUUGCAGGGCCAGAUCACACUUAUACAUCAUUUGGAAAUGACUUUCUUGUUUCCAUAUCUUUCUUGAUCGUGGAUAAGAAAUUUUCAUGACUGUCUACGUUGCUUGGGAACAAGAGGUCAGUCAGAUCUUUCCUUUUUUAUUGUUGCUAUUUUGUAAUUUUUCUCAUGAGAAUAUAUUCCUCUUUUCUAUCUGAAGCUGUGUUCCAUAAAAAAAAACUGAAACUAGAACACAAAGAGUUGUGAAUUCGAGAUUGCCAAAAGUAACAUAUAAUGCUCCCUUGUUUUUUUUUUGAAUAGUCAGGGUGGUUGUUUUCCAUCGCGUAUGACUCUAAAUUUUUGUGCUGGAUACUAUAUUCUAACGUCAGGCAAUGGUAGAGAUCGAUUGUUUGGGCAGGUAUGCCAUUCUGUGAUCGAGUCAGGUGGGUUCUAAAGGUUAUUACAUGGAAAGUAUGUCACACUUUUCUUCUGGCCAUACACGAAGAACCAAUGUAGAGUUCUCUUAGUGAUGAUUUGAGAAGUCUCUGAGUCACAGGAAAUUAUUAUGUUAUGAUGAAUGUGCCAUGAGGGUCAUUUACCAAGUGUGCAGAUAAAAUCGGGGUUGACUGGUAGAUAUCUGGCAUUGCACACAAAUGAAUUCACCUUAAUGAUCUGGUUAUUACCAUUAUUGAUAAAUUUUAAUACCAUCUUUAGUUCCUUCCUCUGCAGGUUGUCACCCAGGGGAACUGCACCUAGCAUUACCUGCCAACAUCCAUCACAUAUACCAUUGUGGAGUUGGUCGAGUCCUCGGCCUGCAAUAAUGAGUUUGCUAUCCCAGCCAUCCUCAUGGUCAUUCAGGCUCAUGGUGGCUCUGCAGCGAGUUAAGAACAGGAGGUCCGAAGAGGAGGUAAUUUUGUAGAUGCAGCUGACUGUCUGUCCUACUAUUCUCCAUCGCGGCGAGCUCUUGCUCUUGUGCUACACGGUCGUUUACAAGGCCGGCAUGGGAAGCAAGGGCACCCGUCAGCAACUCCGUCACCUACGCCAUUAAUUCGGUGAUGCUGGCGAUGUACUCUGUAUGUGAGGUUGUCCAACAUGUGCAAGGAAAUAUGGAAUGGCUUCUCCAAGGAAAUAUGCUGGUUCACUGGAUUGCCUUGCCAUCUCCAAUGAUAAUUUGGUGUGGAUUAUUGGAAUACUUAAAUUUCAACAAUAUCUCCCGUUACAGCACUAUAAUAUAAUCUGAGUAUUUUGCUUUUGGAGGGUUAUGUUGGUCA